UACGGAGGAUCCGAGCGUUAUCCGGAUUUAUUGGGUUUAAAGGGAGCGUAGGUGGAUUGUUAAGUCAGUUGUGAAAGUUUGCGGCUCAACCGUAAAAUUGCAGUUGAAACUGGCAGUCUUGAGUACAGUAGAGGUGGGCGGAAUUCGUGGUGUAGCGGUGAAAUGCUUAGAUAUCACGAAGAACUCCGAUUGCGAAGGCAGCUCACUGUACUGCAACUGACACUGAGGCUCGAAAGUGUGGGUAUCAAACAGG
rnacentral:rRNA from 1 species